UUGUAAUUUUCAUAUGGUAUUUUUUCAACAAAUAAGUUUAACAUUAUUUUUGGUUAUUUUGGGUUAAAAACUUGGCUAAUAUCCAAUAACCGAACCCGUGCGCGAAAUUCAAAUUGCGGAUUUUGUUUAGUUCUCCUCCGAUCAGGACGUUAUAUGUGUCCUCGUGAUAUGAAGAAUGCCCCGAUCGUUUUAACCCAGAUUGGCAUCAAGGAUAAUAAGGAUAAUGCACUUUUAUAGUUAUUUUUAAAUAUGAGAAAUUCGAGGACAACGGCUUUUUUCUUUUUGGAAUAAUCUUCUGGAUGGACAGAGAUUUAUUUCAAUAGAUAAAUACAGGACGCAGGCUCAUAAACUAUUUUCUUAGACACUUUUCAGUGUGGCUUAGUGGAAAGGACAGUCAAAGCAGUUUCUACCACAUACCCAAUGGGUUCUACAAUUUGUUUGUCUAAUUUGUGCUUGCCAUUUGCUAAUUUCUCUACAAAAAAUGACUUUUUUGAUUCCAUUUGGACCAUUUACAGCUACAAUACAAUAUUCUAAUAUAUAUUUUAUAUGUAUCUAAGUACGAAAUACUUAUAGGUAUUCGUUAGCUUGUAAAGGAAACCAAAAACAUAUACAAACAAAUACAAGAAAGAAAGGUUAGCUUCGAGAGCCGA